GCCUCGAUGGAGCCGCCACAUGCGGGUGACUGGAGAAGCCACUAGCGGCCGCGCCGUAGCCUAAGCGUCCCCCCGCCCCUCGGGCAGAGCUUGGGGCUCUAACGGGUGCUCUGCGGCAGGAGGGAGCCGAGGGUGCUUGGCCGGGGCUGCUCGCUCGGGUUCUCCCUGUUGUUGCGCGAAAUGGCGGCCGGCGGCUCGGUGGGUUUGGUCGUCGGUUUUUUUGUCGGGGCCGGGAGGAGAGGAGCGGGGGAAGAGAGAGAGAGAGCGAGCGAGAGAGAGAGGAGCGGCCUGCGCCUGCUUUUGUAACUGCGUCAGUCCAAGAUGGCGCAGGGUCUCCCUGGAGAGGGAAGGGAGCCGCACGUCCGCCGGAGGUCAUGUGACCGCGCUGCAUUCCUGUGGGCUUUGGCUGCCGCCCAACGCGGCUGAGGCGGCGGCGGCGGCGCUCGGGAGAGUCCGUGCUUCCCCUCCCCCAACGCUGCCGUUGCCGCGUCGCUUCCCCUUCCCUUCCCCCCCGUAACCCCGCGCGUGAGGGCGUAGCCGCCGCCGAG
rnacentral:lncRNA from 7 species